GAGGAAACGAUUAGAGCCGUUUCUAGUUAUUUUGAUGGAAAGAAGGCAUUUUAUCAUGUAUCCCUUUACUUGGUAAAGGGCAAACGAACGACUAAGUUGAUUGGGAGUUUUAAACUGACUUGGGAGUUUUAAAUGUAACAAAAUACAAACUGAAAGUUACAAUAAUGGUUUCAUUCACGCCAAAGCAAGGUAUAGAUACAUGCCGCAUGUGGCCAGUAGGGGUCCAUGUAUGUGCUUUCAUAUUUUGCCUGUAGUAUGUUUGUCUACAGCAACAAUUUCGGACAAGUAACUGCAUAGAAGUAGCACUGCUAUUUUAAUAAUUACUCUAAUCCCAAACUGCAAAUUGCUUUAAAAACACCGUUCUCUUGUAUUUUUGUUUACUACAGAUCGCCUCUGUUAAAAGCAUGAUUAAUGCAUGACACAAUGUCAAAACAGCAUUUAAAAUGGUCAAGUUUUUUCUAGAAUCUUUUUUUGGUACUAUUUAUGUAAUUGUUAAACCGUGUUUUUUUACGAGUUGUGUAUACUAACUACCGUUUAUUUAAUGUUCUCAAACUUGUAUUAUUAUAUAUAUAUAUUAGGGAGGGAGAACACGAGGCAACUUAAGCACAUAAUAUCCAAAUAUCCUGAUCGUGUUUUAAACAAUUAACAACGGUCUAUGGGGGCCAUGGGAUACGGUUUUAUAAUUCUGUGAAUGUUCUUUGUUUACUAAAGGUGUCCCAUCUUCCCCACCCUACUAUAUAAAAAAAUGUUGUUUUAAUACCAUACUAACUGAAUAAACACACAUACGUGACGUAAUGUAUACACAAAAAACUUGGUGUAUUAAAAUCAACACAUGGCAGGACAUCAUUGCAAAAUCUUGUUGCUGAUACAAAUCAGUACAUAGCAACAUGAACGUUUACAUGAUUUGAUUAUUCCACUGUAUUGUAACUUUCACAAGUAAAAAAAAAG